CCGUCUCUUGUUCGUUCUUGUUUUUUCUUUCUUUUUUCGCUUGGGUUUUUGGUCUUUUUUGUUCUUUGUUUUUUGGUUUGGGUUUUUCCGAACUUUCCUUGUUUGCGCCUGUGCUCUCAAGGGUUUUGUUUUUCUUCAAUAAAAUUUAUAUUUCAGCAGCUCUCAAGUAAUCAUCAACUAGGCUAAAGAUAUAUCUAUUGAUUUCCUAGUGAUUCUAAGAGAGUUCUUGUAAUCAGCCAUUCUGAUUGUAUUUUCUCUGUUUGCUCUCUUCCUCGAUUCAAUGCUUGUGAAGGU
rnacentral:lncRNA from 1 species